rnacentral:rRNA from 1 species
CAGCAGCCGCGGUAAUACAGAGGGUGCGAGCGUUAAUCGGAUUUACUGGGCGUAAAGCGUGCGUAGGCGGCUUUUUAAGUCGGAUGUGAAAUCCCUGAGCUUAACUUAGGAAUUGCAUUCGAUACUGGGAAGCUAGAGUAUGGGAGAGGAUGGUAGAAUUCCAGGUGUAGCGGUGAAAUGCGUAGAGAUCUGGAGGAAUACCGAUGGCGAAGGCAGCCAUCUGGCCUAAUACUGACGCUGAGGUACGAAAGCAUGGGGAGCAAACAGGAUUAGAUACCCGAGUAGUCCAUGUCUCUUAUAC